rnacentral:rRNA from 1 species
UACGUAGGGUGCAGGCGUUAAUCGGAAUUACUGGGCGUAAAGCGUGCGCAGGCGGCUCCUUAAGUCAGAUGUGAAAGCCCCGGGCUUAACCUGGGAACUGCGUUUGAAACUGGGGGGCUAGAGUGUGGAAGAGGGGGGUGGAAUUCCAGGUGUAGCAGUGAAAUGCGUAGAGAUCUGAAGGAACACCGAUGGCGAAGGCAGCCCCCUGGGCUAACACUGACGCUCAUGCACGAAAGCGUGGGGAGCAAACAGG